rnacentral:rRNA from 1 species
CAUGGGGUGCAAACGUUGCUCGGAAUUAUUGGGCGUAAAGCGCGCGUAGGCGGUUAUCUAAGUUGGACGUGAAAGCCCUCGGCUUAACUGAGGAAGUGCACCCAAAACUGGAUAGCUGGAGUACGAAAGAGGGUCGCGGAAUUCCCGGUGUAGAGGUGAAAUUCGUAGAUAUCGGGAGGAACACCGGUGGCGAAGGCGGCGACCUGGGUCGAGACUGACGCUGAGGCGCGAAAGCGUGGGGAGCAAACAGGAUUAGAUACCCUGGUAGUCCACGCCGUAAACGAUGGGUGCUAGAUGUUUCUGGUAUUGACCCCGGAGGCGUCGUAGCUAACGCGUUAAGCACCCCGCCUGGGGAGUACGGCCGCAAGGCUA